AUUGAACGCUGGCGGCAGGCUUAACACAUGCAAGUCGAACGAGUGGCGGACGGGUGAGUAAUGCUUGGGAAUCUAGCUUAUGGAGGGGGAUAACUACGGGCAACUGUAGCUACUACCGCUUACCAUAGGAUGAGCCCCAGUGGUAUUAGGUAGUUGGUGAGGUAAAGACUCACCAAGCCGACGAGCUCUAGCUGGUCUGCGAGGAGGACGAGCCACACUGGGACUGAGACACGGCCCAGACUCCUACGGGAGGCAGCAGUGGGGAAUAGUGCGCAAUGGGGGCAACCUGACGCAGCCAUGCCGCGUGAAUGAAGAAGGCCUUCGGGUUGUAAAGUUCUUUCGGUAGCGAGGCGUUAACUACAGAAGAAGCACCGGCUAACUCCGUGCCAGCAGCCGCGGUAAUUC
rnacentral:rRNA from 1 species